CUCGCCGUGAUGGAACGUGUCCGAUCGUCGAGCUUUUCAACCCUUUGCGCUCGUACUCGGCUCGGAGAUGGUUGCCGUGCUGGUCAGAAUUCAUUUGCAUCCCACGAACGUUGAUAUAAUAUAAUCUCGUAUGUAACAAGUAGCUUAAAAAGUUUUUUUUAAGAAUUAUAUGAAAUUUUAAGAAGCGCGUUGACGAAGAAAUGCGCAAGCAGUGGCUGUCAGAGAGCAGAUAUACAAUCGAAAUGGUAAAAGUGCUGUAGUGACCGAGAGCAGAUGUACGAUCGAAAUGGUAAAAGUGAUGUGGUGGCUGAACAUACGACCGCAAAGGGUUAAUAAGUAUUAUACUUUAAUUCGUCGAUGAAAUCUUUGAAGGAGAUCGAGGAAGAAAGAUUUAUAUCGUGGAAAUGUGAAUAACGAAAGCUUCUGAUGAUUUUGUAUCUUCUGAAUUUAACAAUUGAAACUUUCUAACGUCGAAAUUUUUAUUUUCGAACGUAACGUGAAAUCUUCGAGGAAGAUGUAACGUCGUGAAAACGUGAAUGAUAAAAGCUUCUGAUAAUUUUGUAUCUUGCGAGUCCGAGAAACGAGGUUCUGCAACAUUCAACUUUAUAUCUUUGAACGUAUCAUGAAGAUCAUAGAAGAUCGGCUGUCUUCGUGAAAAUGUCAAUGACGAAAGACUCUGACAAUUUUGUAUUUCUAGAGUUCGAGACUUCAAUAUUCACAUUGAAAUUUUUAUUUUUAAGCGCGUUGUGAAAUCUUUGAGGGAGAUAAAUUUGAGGAUUUAAGAGUCUGAAAAAUUUGUUAAAAGUGUCCUCUUGGGUGGUGGAUGAAUGUGUUGAUAAAUUGUAUCUUAAGCAAGAAUUUUUAAACUUGACAUUGUUAGGCGUGAUUGAAGCUUCUAUAAAGAAUGGAAACAAUCUGUUGAAUUACAAAGUUUCAAGAUCGAAGCAUUUGAGAACACAGCAAACGUAUUAAUUGCUAACAAAUACAUUGAAAUUCUAAUUUCACCUAUUAAAAGUCUCUUUGGUUUCUUCUACCAAAUAGUCUUCUCAAUAGUUAGCCCAAAUCUCAGAAUCACUUCAUUACAAAACCACGAUUCUAUCAACAACCCAAUGUACUUCCUCAAUUCUAAUACAACUCCAUGUUACAAUCAAAUUUAUCUAUUGAUUUAACAUACUUCUAUUUAACAUACUGUUAAACAUUCUCCAUAAUACUAUGUAAUUCCUCAAAAUAACAUUGAAACUCAGUUUCAAAACGUCAUAAAUAUCCAUAACUAAAAGGAACUUUUAAUGAAAUAAAAAUGAAUCCUGCCCAAGAUGUUACUUAAAAAACUUGUAAUAUCUUUUCCUUCUGAUUUAAUUUUCAAUUAAAACUAAUAAGAGUGAAGAACGAUAAUCUGAAUUUUCACCUACGUCAUGUUUUUUUACGCGUCCGAUGUUAUGCUCCUUUUUAUAACAAUAUGAUAUAAUAAUAAUUAACAAUAAAAAAGACGUAUUAUUAUUCGAAGACACGAUCUAUUUUCUUAUUAUAAUGUUAUUUCCUCUUGUUGAACUUAACAGAUACAGAUCGAACAUAGUUUGAGAUCGUUCGACAGGUCAAUGGAUGAGGUUUUCGAUGGUGUUCAGGUGCGCAAGAACUGCGAAGAUCGGUCAUGGAACUUCGACACGGUUUGCCAGAUCUGGGCUCAAUUUACGUUCAGUUGCGAAAGCAGCCGACGCUCGAACUUUGGAUUUACAUUCAAGUAAAUUGGAAUGCGGCAUUCGGCGCGGAAUGUACGGAGCAUGCUGAUAGAGCUGCGGUCAAGCUGGUUAUUCGGAGUUUACACUUCCUUCUCUGUAGAGGUGAAUGAGGAGGCAGUAUAUACGCAGCUUUUUAGCCGCUGGUUACUCUCAUGUUUGAGAUGUACAUCGAUUAUAAGAAUUUUACAAAAUUUAUGUGUCAAUUAUGCUCCUGAAAAUAUGAAUUUGAUAAAAAUCAUACAAUAUAAUCAUGAUACAUAUCAUAUGACGAAUAUGACGAAUGUCAGUAUAAUUACGUGACAAGUUUCUUCUGCAAUAGUGUUUCUAGAUAUUUUAAAAAUGUCCACAAUUUUGUAAUUGAGUGUGGUAGUGGGUAGAGAAAAAUGUAGAAAAUAUGUUUCAGAUUGACAUUCUAGAGUUUUCUCAAUUUUUGUUCAAUUUCUCAAAAAGUUAAGGUUUUCAUUUUAUAAAGUUAAAAGUUU